AGCCGAGAACCUCUCCUCUCUGCUUCAGCCAAUCACAUCCCUCCUUUGUACAUAUCCCCUCCCCGCCUCCGAUCCUCUCCUAGGGACGGUCCGCGGUCCAGCCACGUUCCUUCGUUCCGUUGUUUCUACGAGGACUCCGGUUGCUACCUCGACUUUUUUCGUCCUAAUUAUUAUCCUCCGCCACAUUCUUGCGGAAACAAAUGAAGAAGUUAUUACAUACAAUCGAAUAUACGGCGAGUUUCAAGGUCUUAAUUAUCGAGCCCUAAUAAAGUUCUUAUAGUACAUGGAUUUAUACGAUAUUCGAAGUUUACAAAAAUUGUGGAACAGUAAUGAGGCUACAGAAUAUAUGAUAAUUUUAUGGCAAUAUUUACAGUGGUUACAAAAAAUAUUUGUACACCCUUGUAUUUAUUAUAGUAUUUAUUUACUAAUCAAUUAAGUCCAAAUAUAUUAAGUUUUUUAUCAUUUGGUAGUACUUUCAUGUAACGACUAAAACUUGAUACUAUGAAAAUGAAAUGUGAGACCUAAUAAAAAAAUGCUUCAUUGGAAAAUACAGAUUCAAGGAUUUUUGAAGCAAGUAGAAAAGCAGCUAUAAAGCUAACUUGGCUUUAUAAUAAAAAAUAAUCAAAAUAGAAUUGAAAACAAGUUAAAAAGAAAGAUCAAGAUAUGGAACUAAAAAUUAUCAAAAGAAACAACUGGAAGACUAGUAUAAAUAGAACAACUCUAAGAUAAUUACUAUUGACCUUAAAUCGCAAACAGUGACCUUGAAAAAAAGUCCUCGAACCAAAUACUAUUUCUGUAUUCUAGCACAAUCGUCUUAUUGCAUUACACGAGUUAUAACUGAAUUUGAUACUCUGGUUUCGUUCGUCAUAUGUUCAAGGAUAUAAAUAUAAUACACAUACAUGUAUUUGAAAGAAGGAAGAAUAUAAGAAGACGUGUAAUUCAUUUUUAAGGAAAAUCAGGUAUAUCGUAGGCCAAGCAAUGAGAAAAUUGUCAUUUGAAUCGCAUACGUAAGAACGUCGCGCUGCUUUAAAUACAAUACCAUUACAACGACACUAAUUCGCCGAUUUAACCGUCUCAAGAGGCAAGCGACUUUAUCGCGUGACUGGCACCGAGUACGACAAAUAUUUGUCGUCCAGUUUCUUCAGUCAGCGUCACACCUAUCAGAAAGAUGGCCAUUUUUGCGAAGAGUAGCAAACGGAAAACAAAAUUGUAAAUCCUUUGUGAUCCAUAAAUACGUAGUACGAAAAUGGUAUAUGAUGUUCGACCGUUGACUAAGGGCAGUUCUCAAUGUCAAUGUCUCAGCAACGAUCGAGCACCACUGACUGCUCCGUAAUUUCGACACGUUUGCCAGGAGCAAAUCACCGGUGACCACCGUUGAUGGCCACCUUGCUUAUUUGUUGCAUAAUAUUGGCCGACGAUUCUACGUCAGAUAUACAUACAUACUUGCUUUCUGUGGAAAUGUUCGCUCGUGCCAAGAUUACCUACUGGCAUCUCGAGCAUGGAAAACAUCCCUGCCAGACCGCUUCCUUAUCGAUCUUUUGCCGCGCUUUUAUCGUUUUCGCUGAAUCAAUGCCAUUCGAUGGUUCGUCAUUUCGAAAAUAGUAGCACUGUCGUAUUUAGUGUAGUGACGAGACUUUAUUGGUGAUUUAAUCUAUCUCUUUGGUUUUAAUCUUCAUCGGUAAGUGGAGGAGGUUUUAGUAAAGUGACACGGAUGUGCUAAUGAUGAGAAAACAAAUAAUUUUAGAUUUUACUUACUUCUUUACACGUAGAUCUUUUGUAUAUUUUGCAUGUUUCGAAAACUUCGUAUAUUUUCUUUCUUUUAUCUGAAUAUCUGAUAUUUACACAACUUAUCGAUGAAGCAAUUGAACUUGAAACCGAAAAUUUUAACGAAGCAAAGUCUUAUAAGUGAACGUGACGAUCGGCACGUAAGAUUUUUUAUGCUACCAAUCAUUAAUUUUACUUACAUUGAAAAAAUUAUAAAGAUUAUAUAAAGAACUCUUAGAAUAUAAAAACUAUCGAGAUCGAUAAGUUAUUUCCAAAAUUUUUUAAAAUUUUCAUGCGUAUAUAUAUUUCUUUAUUCUUCUUUUUUUUUAAAUAGCUUCCCUUGAUUGUUAGGAAAGUAUAAUAAGAUUCUUUACUGUGAAAUCUGUCCGCAGCAACUCGGUGAACUCAUUCAGAUCAAUUGAUGAGGCCGAGUUGAUAUGUUGCCAAUGAAAUUAGCCAGGAGGACAAUUAAGCGCAUCGUUGAACAAAUCCUAGACAAACUUGUCGCCGUUGAUGAACACAAACUGUUGCCUAUAACUAGAGGAAAUUCUACUUGGCUUUCUUCUACAUUAAGCAAUAUGUCAAUGACAUAAUGAUUUAAAUUCUACUGUUACAAUACAAUUAUUGGAGAAUUAUUGAACAUAUCUUGAUUGAAUUUUUAUGAGAAUAGAAAUCUAUAGUAAAGAAGAAAUAUGAAUCAUUAAAGUCAAAAUUAUUGAAGAAAAAUUCAUUAAAAAAGUAUCCAUGUUUCAGCUCAAGCCCAUUACAACAUCAAUAGAAGACCGAUGUUGAGGAGGAAGAUACAAUUUUAUGCUCCAAUUAACUACAGAUUGUCAUCUACACCCCGUUGUUCAACACUGCAAUAAUAUUAUCAUCAAAGACUCAAUUGAAUCGUUUAAAGGAACACCUUACCAAUAAUAUCCUGAUGAAAAAUUGCGAGUAAUCAACUGCAUACGAUUCAUUAUUUUAAGAAAUUGCUAUCUCUUAUGCAAACUGCAAUUAUCUAGCGAUUCAGCAAGGCUUAAAUUUAGCGAGGAAUUUCGCUAAGUCGGCGAGACGUAAAGGCUGGAGGGCCCUGCCGGUGCUGGGACCGAAAUACACGACGAUUAUACCGGCGACUCCUCGAAUUGUUUCUCUGCGUGUGGCUUUUUUCCCCUCACCGUUACAGAUACGCCUCUGAAAAUGUAAAUCUUCGUGGCCGUAGUACAGUCAGGCAUACAAUUCCAUCGUAAAGAUUCUCUGUAGUCUUAACGACAUCAUCUUCCGAGAGUAGUUUUCUGGUUGUGGUUUUCUCUGUGUAUUAUGUUAAAUUAACAGGAUAAUCACGUGUAACACGGAUACAUAUAUCAUAGAUAAAUAAUUAUAAAUAAUAUAGGUAAUUUCGAUUAAUUUUAAUUAAUAUGAAAAUUCUACUCAUAACAUAAAUAAUAUGAAAAGCAGAAUAGUUAUUGUUAAAGUAACUUUAGUUGAAUUAUUUUAAUUUUUGUAAUAGAGAAAUUCUUUCUUGGAUUACAUAUAAUAAAUGGAAUUAAUCAGUGAAAAUAUAAGUACAUUAUGUCCAUUGUUACUCAACUUAAAUAAUUUUGACAUUUGUAUGUCAUAAGUAAUUCACAGAUAUUUCUGGUUUGAACUUUAGAAACACAGGCAUUUGUCUAAUUCUGAUUGAUUUAUUAUAUGUUUCCUGAGAAUCUGUAAUAUUUCAAGCAUGGUAAGCAAACAGUAGAGUAAAAUUCAGUGGAUCAAUAAUUAUUUUAGAAUCAAUAUAUUAUUACAAUAAACCAUAAAUAACAUGUAAAUUCUUUAUCUAAGAGUUGUAGAUAAGGAUUAGAAGCAAAUGAUGGAUAACACUAACUAAGCUAUUUACGUAUGAAUGGAACCAUCCGCAUAUAUAAUCUUUAACAUUUUAUACAUUUUUCAAUUACGUUAUCAGGAUGUAUAAUGAGUGUUCAACUUCUCAAAAAACAAGUUGCUUUCAUAAAUCCAUUUAUGACAAGAUGAUAUAAAUGAUUAUAAAUUUCAAGGUAAAUUUUGAAAAAUAGCAUUCUCAGCAUUAAAAUUUCUCUGUAUAUUUUAAUUUAUAGGGUUGAUUAGUAUGAAUUUUGAAUUCCCGUAUUGAAGAAUCGAGAUUAUCAAAAAGCCCCAUAAACGAUGUAAGAGAAGCGAAGGAUGGAACGAACGGUCGCUGUAUUUUAGUAAGCUGGCUGCAAUAGUUUAAGUCUUAAGGCAAGUCAUUUAUGUCGCAAGGGAUCUCACGUCUUAAGACAUCGCUCCCUCACUGUAUAGUGACACGAGUGGCCGUGAAAUCGGCUACGUCGGCCAUUCUAAAAUCGUGCCAGAAUUUCUUGCCAAAUUUAAUUGGAGCUCCGUCCUGUUUACCUGUGCGAACCCACGAUCUUGAGCGUUUAUCCAUCUUUCCUUCUCUCUCUUUUUUUUUCUUUUCAUGCCUUUGCUGGCAAAUUUUCGAUACGAGACAAUCAGACGAAACAAUGACUCCUUGAUAACAUGCCAAGGAACCUGAUAUUGCAAGGCUUAGCUCAGUUAUUUAGUUAUUUCUGCGAUUAACAUUUUGUCGCACAAUUGCAACGUUCUCGAGAAUCGUAAAAUUAAUCGUUUUAUUGUUUUGUUUAAAGAUCGACAAGCCAUGACGAAUCGUUGGAAACGAACAACGGAAUAUUUUGAUUUAUCUGACAAGCUGUGACAGGCAUGAUUUGGAGCCGUUUUAUAUCUACCUUUUCGGAUCGUUAACGCUAUAGAUUGUAAGGGACGUACAUAUCUUUGUUGGUCCCGGAUCGAUGCUUGUUAAUUUUAACAGAUGUAGCCCACACCUGUGAAUUUUGGUCGCUUAUCGCUCCAUUUUUUAUCGCUUGAUAAGCUUCAAAUUUAGGCAAAUGUUUCCUGUCUUGUGAUAAAUGUUCAGGUAUUUUCUGUUUUUCUUUCAUCGCGUUAUUUUAGAAUUGUUGAAAAAAUUUGUGAAAAUAUGGAACAAGGUGUUUAUAGAUGAAGAUAUUUUAACGACAGAAGUGCAAUUUCUGAGAAUGACAAUAACUUUAUAUGAAUAAAUAUUCACUUGUCAAAUCAUUUUUUGGAAAGUAUUGGUAAUACCACCUUUCUCAUUUUAUUAUGAAACUAGAUAACUAUUUUUAACUGUCUUAUGGAAAGAAGUAGACACUCCUAGCUUUAUUUUCAAUUUUGUCUCAUGAGAGAUUGAACAGAGAUAAAUAAGAAAAUUUUUAUUAAAACACAGCUAAUUCUAAAUUCUUUUGCAAUAAAGUGAGUUUCCUUGGGUUUUGUCUCUUACGUUAAAUUCUAAUAAAAAGUUAAAAAUGAAAAAGGCUUUGUAAAACGAAGAAUAUGGAAGCUAUACUAUUUUUGUGCUGGUUAGAGAGCUUAUAACAAGUUGAAGCGACUUCGAAAAAUCGUUAAAUCGUACACGUGCACCUACUUGUAUUACGUCAGUAGUUCACGUAAUAACUGCUAAACGAUAAUGAUUUGUUAGCUUACAAGCUGAUUGCAGCUUCUGUUACCAGGAGAAUUA